rnacentral:rRNA from 1 species
UACGGAGGGGGCUAGCGUUGUUCGGAAUUAUUGGGCGUAAAGCGCACGUAGGCGGUUUGUUAAGUCGGAUGUGAAAUCCCUCGGCUCAACUGAGGAAGUGCAUCCGAAACUGGCAAGCUUGAGUACGAAAGAGGGUCGCGGAAUUCCCGGUGUAGAGGUGAAAUUCGUAGAUAUCGGGAGGAACACCGGUGGCGAAGGCGGCGACCUGGGUCGAUACUGACGCUGAGGUGCGAAAGCGUGGGGAGCAAACAGG